AUGAGCAUGGAAGUGUUUCAUAGCAGUAAUUUUUUUAAACUAAACUAAUUUGAACAAAUUUUUCUUGGGAAUUUGAGAGACCUAUUUUGAGAGGGGCGUAGGUUAAAGGCUGUUUUCUUUUGGCUGAACAGUGGAGGUCUGUGCCAAUGCCUGUCUGUUGCUCUGAUGUUUUUACCACAGAGUAUGAUCUGGGCAAAAGGGGAGGAGAUUUAUGGGUACUGGGAAGGAGGUUUGGUAGUUUGUCUGCUGUAUAAAGCUGUUGCUGCAUUUGUUUUGCAGUUUGAGCUUGGGUACAAGGUUCAAGCCACAGGCAGGUCAAAAUGAAGAGUGUGCUCGGCUAUUGUGCUCUCAUAUUCACACUUCUUUUGAGCUGCUCAGUCCAGGCUGCGAAAAAGCAGAAAACUGUUUCUUCUCAAGGUACAGACUGCACACAAAUUAAGACUCAGUCUCCAGAUGCCCUCAGUGGAGUUUAUGUAAUCCAGCCUGCAGGAGCCAACAAUCACUUCAAGG